rnacentral:lncRNA from 1 species
AUCACGAUCCAAAGCAUAAGCACACCUUAUUAAUAGUCACACAAAAUUUGAUCAAAUAAAAAAUGUGAUCAAAGUUCAAAUAUUAGAAAAUAGAUAGAUGGACCAAACUCUUAUCACAUAGUAAAAGUUAGGGAGUAGACUAUAUCAAAAUUGUGACUAUGUCAAACAUUCCUUAAAUGGUGCCAAAAUUAAUCAGAAUAUUAAUUAUUAAUCAUAUGGCCAAGAAAACAAAAUAUUGGAAACUUUAUAUUCUUCACCUGAUUGCCUGAAACUGGAUCACGAUGACACGAAGUGAAUUCCGGCUCGUUCUUGCUCAAUAUUGUUGAAGCAGUGUAUCACAAUAAAGAAAAUAAAGAAUGACAAAACAAAUAAUUGAUUUUAAGAGUACUGUCACAAAGCCAUACUACAUUAACCUCUUGAACAAUAUAAAGCUCAUUGCCUCAAGUCCCAUAUGAUGUUGUUUGUCAGUUUGCUUAUCAUACUAAUUGUGCAAUAUUAAUAACAAAUAAUUGUUCUAUCAUACAAAUUUCAAGGACAAUAUACUGCAGCCCAUGUUCAUAUAAUGACACCUCAUCGUAAAACUAAUAAUAACAC